UGCUGCUGCUAUUGGUGUAACUGUGCGUGCGGAUUGUUGCUGCAGUAGAGUACGACCUAGCCAGCAGUGCAGAUGAAAUGGUUGGAAGUUGUCCUUCGGAUGACAGUGGAUUCUGUAAAAGCUUUAUCAUUCCCGUACUUCAACCAACACACUUCUAUCCACACUCAACUUAAUGUGUGUGUCUCAAAGGGUGCGAUAUCAGGGCGGCUGCCUUACCUUUAAAGUUAUCAACAACUUUGCUCCUAGUUACCUUGUGGAGAAAAUUUCUAGAGUCUCUGCCCGAGCUAUAAGAUCUCGAGCUUCAACCAGAGGUGACUUAGCUUGUCCCAAAGUCAAUUUGGAAUGUUUUAAACGUGCAUUUAGUUAUCUUUGUCCUAAUUUUUAUAAUAAUUUACCAAUUGA